AGGACGAACGCUGGCGGCGUGCUUAACACAUGCAAGUCGAGCGGUAAGGCCCUUUCGGGGGUACGACGAGCGGCGAACGGGUGAGUAACACGUGAGUAAUCUGCCCUCCACUUGGGGAUAAGCUUCGGAAACGGGGUCUAAUACCUGAUACGACACUCUCCUGCAUGGGAUGGGUGUGGAAAGUUUUUUCGGUGGGGGAUGUGCUCGCGGCCUAUCAGCUUGUUGGUGGGGUAAUGGCCUACCAAGGGCUUCGACGGGU
rnacentral:rRNA from 1 species